UGGGAGAGGGAGGGAGGGGGAAAAUGUAAUUGGUUAUAUUUAAUUUAUAAUUUGAUUUGUUAAAUUUGUUAAAUUAUAUAUAUAUAUGUGUGUGUGUGUGUGUGUGUGUGUGUGUGUGUGUGUUUGUGUGUGUGUGAACUCCCUUACAGGACCCAAAAAUUCCAGAAGGCUUCUAGACCCUGGUUCCCCUCCCCCCAA